GCCCGUAUAGAGUAAUAGCAACUCGUUGGUCUCCUAUAUCAGUAUAGGUGACAGCCAAGGAUCCUGGUGCAAAUCCGGGUAUGGGUA
rnacentral:tRNA from 1 species